rnacentral:pre_miRNA from 1 species
AAUGCAAUUGCUGGGUUAUAUGGUAAGUUUAUGUUAGCUUUGCAAGAAACCACCAAACUGUCCUCCAAAGUGGCUGUACCAUUUGCAUUCCCACCAGCAAU